rnacentral:tRNA from 1 species
GGGGAUAUAGUUUAAUUGGCAGAAUACAUGUUUUGCAUACAUGUGGAACGGGUUCAAAUCCCGUUAUUUCCACCA